GGCGUUUUGAAGGAUGACAUCAACAACAUGCUGUCCAGCUCCAUGUCAUAACAGAAAUGCGUUGACCUGGCUUCUAUGCCCAAACAUUGAUCAUGUGUCCUCUGCAUUGCAAAUUCUUGUUCACCUUGCUCAGGAGGACAAAGGUGAACUUGUCGAAAAGGUUCUUCAGCACUGCAACCCAGAAUUAUGCAUAGAUGCUCUUCGAAAACUGCUGAAGUCACCUGCCUCAUGGCUGAGUAGUACUGGAGCUUGUAUCUUUGGGGUCCUGCUGGAAAAUGAGUCCAUGGUGCUGAAACUUCAGAAGGGGACCAAAGGGGAAAGCAAUCUCAUAUGUGACCUUGUUCAGAUGUUUACUGAAGAUGAUCCUGAUGUUGUGAUGAAUGCUGCUGGAGCCAUAGCCUCAUUGGUUGAAACUACAUCAGGACGGACAUGGUUCCUUCAGAUCCAAAGUGUGUUCAGUGGGGUCCUUGAGAGCCUAUCAGUUCUUCUAGAGAAUGAGAGAGAGAAUACGGUUAACUCUGCAGCACUUAUUCUUGCACGACUGUCCCAGUGUGAAGAAACCUGUGAAAAGGUUUUAUCCCAUUCAUCUGCCUGCAAGAUCUUCAGAUGUUUAACACAAUGCUUGUCGUGUAGUCACAAAGACACAGCCAUGAAUGCGGCAUUUGCUGUUGGCCGUCUGUGUGGUAGCAAACAAGCCAAGAUCCUCAUUCUGAGAGUGGCCAAAGAGCAUCAGCUGGUUAGUCGCCUGCAGACUCUGCUGUUGAGUGGGUCAGGAGUGGAGAUGGGGCAAACAGUGUGCUUUGCUCUGAGCUGCUUAGCAAAUGAGGAAGAUGGCCAUGCUCUGCUGAUGGAAAGCACCUGUGUCCCUACAUUGCUGAAUGGUCUUUUACAGCUGUUGCAGAGCCCAGACCCAGACAGUAUCUGGUUUGCUGCUAUGACAGUACGAAUACUGGUUUCCCGGCCGAGUGGAGUGGUCCCUGUCAGGAUCCAUUGCUCUCUGCAUGAGCAGUUGAAGAUUCUCUCUAUGUCACCAUCCACUGGGCUAGAGCUGCAGGAGGAGGUCAACAUGUGUCUCAGGAAACUGGAGCGUUUAUCCAAACCACAUCCAGUGAUGGUUACAAACCUCUCAUCAACGAGCUGCACUGUAUCAUGGGAAAAGUGUAGACCUGAAAGUGGCCUGGAGGUCAUAUACAGUCUCUUUCACAAGGAUGUCAUGCUGUACCAUGGCCUGUUGUGUCAGGUGACCAUACCUAUUUCUCCCAAGCAAUCUAAGGAGCCCCUUUCCCUACAGCUCAACCUGUCUACACCUGAUGGUGACAUUAGUCCUUUCAGUGAACCUGUGGUUAUUACUCCAGAGCAGCUGGACACGAGACUUAAGCCUCCACGAGAGCUCUGUGUGAUUGGCUCUACAGCUACACAGGUACGCCUGUGCUGGAUAGAACCAGAGGGAGGAGCCAAACCCAAAUCAUACCAGAUCUACUGUAAUGACACACUGGUGAAGACCACUGCUCUGCUGGGGGCUACAGUUGGCUGUUUAUCUCCUGGCACCUCCUAUCAGCUGAGUGUGAGUUCACUUGGUCCAGGGGACACAGAGAGUCCUAGAGCAGUAACUGAGGUGAGGACAGCGGAAGAUCAAGAUCAUGCUCCUUCUGCGGUCACUGUAGUUGUCCUGGGACGACAUGAACUGCAGAUAAACUGGGGAGCUCCAGUCGCUCCUUUGGGGAGACUCUUCAAAUAUGAGCUAAGUCUAAAUGGCUAUCACCUCCAGGGGGCGCUGCCAGAGCAGUCCGGUCACAAAGAAGACAGCACGGGAUGA
ensembl:lncRNA